UACGAAGGGGGCUAGCGUUGCUCGGAAUCACUGGGCGUAAAGGGUGCGUAGGCGGGUCUUUAAGUCAGGGGUGAAAUCCUGGAGCUCAACUCCAGAACUGCCUUUGAUACUGAAGAUCUUGAGUUCGGGAGAGGUGAGUGGAACUGCGAGUGUAGAGGUGAAAUUCGUAGAUAUUCGGAAGAACACCAGUGGCGAAGGCGGCUCACUGGACUGGUAUUGACGCUGAUGUGCGAAAGCGUGGGGAGCAAACAGGG
rnacentral:rRNA from 1 species